rnacentral:lncRNA from 1 species
GCCACCAUUGGCUGAGCCGCGCAGGGGGCGGGGCCGCGCAGCGCCGCGCAGGGGGCACGGCCCGGCCGGGGCGGGACGGGCGGCGGCGGCGGCGGCGGCGGCAGCAGCGACGGCAGCGCCCGCGUCCCGCUGCGCCCCAGGCAGCCCGCGGAUCCCCCGCGGACGAUUGGUUCUCCGCGGAUGGUCCCCGCGGAUGAUUCCCCAACAUCAAAGCAAACGCGGGCAGGGGAUGGUUCUGAUCUCAGCUGGGGCCUGAAUCUGCACGAAUGUACCUGGAGAGGAGCAAAACGCCGUGACAGCAGCCCGGCUCUGCUGCUGACUGGCAGGGACAAACACCGGGACAAUUUGGAGGGUAAUGGAUUGGCCGAAAAGGGUCAUAAUUAGGACAUUUUUCAUCCUGCAAGUCCAUCUGCUGCAAGGGGCUCUGCCUUCCCAGAGAGGCUGCUCGGAGCGCGGCGAGGGGCUUGACAAGUUUGAACAAUAAACAAGAGCGAAAGGGGGAAGGAGCUUUGCAGUUAUUGUGUGUGAUUUGAUAAUUUCUGGCUUAUUAUUUUUAAUUAUUGCUCGAUGGACUAUUUAGACAAGGUGGACAAGCUGAUUAAUCACAGCCGGGUGGAAGCUGCCUUUAAAAGCUGCUGCUGCUGCUGCUGCUGCUCUCCUGUCAGGAUGGAAGUUUUCCUUUUCUUUUUUCGGGAAUUCACAUUGUUUUACCCCCAGUGCUGAGCUCAGAGAGCCGGGAAGAUUUUUAGUGAGGAUUACAGCCCCUGUUUGAUGGGUUUUUCCUGCCUUGGUGCUAAACCAAAUCCCUGGUUUUUUAGGAAAUAAAACUCUCCAAGCGUUUGUGCACGGAGUGGAGGAGAUGGGAAUUUUGGGAGCGGAGGGAAUGGUGGCCCGAGGGGGAUUUUGAGGAGGUUUUUCUCCCCAAAUUUAAAAUAUUGCUGUGCUUCCAAUGAGUUGUGCUGAAAGGAGUUGUUUUGUGGAAUUCUGGGGGUUCUGGGGGGAGGAGGGGUUGAUCCCGCUCCCCUUUGAGCCUGGGGAGGUUCAGGCUCUGCUCCGAUCCCCGGGAUUUGGAAUUGGGGUUGGGAAGGCUUCCCCAGGGAUGCUGUGAUGUCAGCAGGUCCCCUCUGAGCUCACACAGGCCAGCGGUGCCUCUGCCCUGCCA